rnacentral:rRNA from 1 species
GCAGAGCAUCCUACGGGAGGCAGCAGUGGGGAAUAUUGCACAAUGGGCGCAAGCCUGAUGCAGCCAUGCCGCGUGUAUGAAGAAGGCCUUCGGGUUGUAAAGUACUUUCAGCAGUGAGGAAGGUGGAUAUGUUAAUAGCAUAUUCAUUUGACGUUUAGCUGCAGAAGAAGCACCGGCUAACUCCGUGCCAGCAGCCGCGGUAAUACGGAGGGUGCGAGCGUUAAUCGGAAUUACUGGGCGUAAAGCGCAUGCAGGUGGUUUGUUAAGUCAGAUGUGAAAGCCCGGGGCUCAACCUCGGAAUUGCAUUUGAAACUGGCAAACUAGAGUACUGUAGAGGGGGUAGAAUUUCAGGUGUAGCGGUGAAAUGCGUAGAGAUCUGAAGGAAUACCGGUGGCGAAGGCGGCCCCCUGGACAGAUACUGACACUCAGAUGCGAAAGCGUGGGGAGCAAACAGGAUUAGAUACCCUGGUAG